rnacentral:rRNA from 1 species
UACGUAGGGUGCAAGCGUUGUUCGGAAUUACUGGGCGUAAAGGGAGCGUAGGUGGGGUUGUAAGUUAGGAGUUUAAUACAUGGGCUCAACCCAUGAUUGGCUCUUAAGACUGCAAUUCUUGAGUAUGGGAGAGGGCGAUGGAAUUCCAGGUGUAGCGGUGGAAUGCGUAGAUAUCUGGAAGAACACCAGUAGCGAAGGCGGUCGCCUGGCCCAAUACUGACACUGAGGCUCGAAAGCUAGGGGAG